GAUGAACGCUGGCGGCGUGCUUAACACAUGCAAGUCGAACGAUGAAGCCCAGCUUGCUGGGUGGAUUAGUGGCGAACGGGUGAGUAACACGUGAGUAACCUGCCCUUGACUCUGGGAUAAGCCCGGGAAACUGGGUCUAAUACCGGAUAGGAGCGCCUGUCGCAUGACGGGUGUUGGAAAGAUUUUUCGGUCAUGGAUGGACUCGCGGCCUAUCAGCUUGUUGGUGGGGUAAUGGCUCACCAAGGCGACGACGGGUAGCCGGCCUGAGAGGGUGACCGGCCACACGGGGACUGAGGCACGGCCCAGACUCCUACGGGAGGCAGCAGUGGGGAAUAUUGCACAAUGGGCGGAAGCCUGAUGCAGCGACGCCGCGUGAGGGAUGACGGCCUUCGGGGUGUAAACCUCUUUCAGUAGGGAAGAAGCGAAAGUGACGGUACCUGCAGAAGAAGCACCGGCUAACUACGUG
rnacentral:rRNA from 1 species